rnacentral:tRNA from 3 species
GCCCGGGUGGCGAAAUUGGUAGACGCAGCGGAUUCAAAAUCCGCCGGUGGCAACACUGUGCCGGUUCAAGUCCGGCCCCGGGCACCA